rnacentral:rRNA from 1 species
GACGAACGCUGGCGGCGUGCCUAACACAUGCAAGUCGAGCGGGGUUGAAGCGAGGGGUAACUCAAACUUCUACCUAGCGGCGGACGGGUGAGUAACGCGUGGGCAACCUGCCUCAAGGAUCGGGAUAACAGCUCGAAAGGGCUGCUAAUACCGGAUAUGCCUAUGGCCUCGCAUGGGGCUGUGGGCAAAGGGGAAACCCGCCUUGAGAUGGGCCCGCGUCCCAUCAGCUAGUUGGUGAGGUGAAGGCUCACCAAGGCGACGACGGGUAGCCGGCCUGAGAGGGUGACCGGCCACACUGGGACUGAGACACGGCCCAGACUCCUACGGGGGGCAGCAGUGGGGGAUCUUGCACAAUGGGCGAAAGCCUGAUGCAGCGACGCCGCGUGAGCGAAGAAGGCCUUCGGUUGUAAGCUCUGUCUGGAGGGACGAAGAAAGUGACGGUACCUCCGGAGGAAGGCCACGGCUAACUACGUGCCAGCAGCCGCGGUAAACAUAACUCGUA